CAAAGACUUCUAAAUAAAUACCUGGAGCCCAAAUUGAACCUCUGAGGGGCCCAGGAAAACCCAGUGCCCAAAGAACCCACCAUCUUUCUCCAGUGGCAUCUGCAGCUCCAAAGACGGGGCUGGACCCGGUCCAAGCUAGGCCCCAGCACUAUCAGCGGACACUUCUUCCAGUGGCCCUGGAGAGAAGGGAGCAGAGGAAGGAUAAGCUGGCUUUGGACAAACGUGUGGACUCAACAUUUGCAAGCUCUGCACCUGACCAGAAGUCAGGACUGGGAGACAGACAGCUCUCCCUGGCUAAGGCUGGGAUCAGCAGCUGGGAAAAGGAGGCCCCACGGAGGCGUCAAGAAAAUUGUUGCCUUCAAGAGCCCCAGAAAAGGCGGCCUUCAGACACCCAGGGCUCCCCUUAAGAAAGCCAGGGAUUGGAAUGGGAAGUGGACAGGGGGCGCCCUUGGGCCGCCUGUACCUGCUCCUAGGCACCAGGCAAUCCUUCCACACACACUGGAGUCAUGGCAGAAGGAAAGGAGGAACUAUUUCAUCAACAGACUUUCCAAGAGGCCUCAAGACGCACAGCAGGUGCAUCUUAAAGGAAGAUAAAUGAAGACAGAGGGAGCCUGCCUUGCCACAAGGGUGGGGGACAUGAGAGAGCCCCUCAGCAGAGAAAACUUAGUGAGCUCAGAGAUAGGAGGGCCCUCUGGAUGGGACGAAGGGAGCUUUGAGUGUCAGAAACAUAUAGCCAAGGUCAGCAGAGUUGGCCUCACUUUCCUCAGCGCCUGCUGUAUAAUCUUUCUGAGACAAUGUGGAUCGAAAAGUAACCCCUUAAAAUAUUGCUGAAAGCAGGCUCUAGAGGCAAUCGUAAGUUACCUGGAUCCCUGCAUUGCCAUUGUCAGACAUGCUUGCUCUUUUCAAAGUUAAUGCCAAAAUAGGAGAUGCCUCUGGGUCCACCCAUGUGGUACAAUACAGGCAGAAGCACAGAGAACACAAGCCAGUGAGUACAUAGAGUGUCGGCAAAGUGAGGCAUUUCUGGAAAGCCAGAGAAAUUUAUCUUAACUCAGGAGAGAAUCUUUCCCUUUGCCUCUUAACUAAAGAGCUUUCUAGUGAUAAAAGAAAGUUUCCUAUGUUCAAUAAUAAUGUGACAAAUUAAAAGGACAUUGUCAACGAUUGUUAAGGUAAUUGUAGUAAAAGUCAACAAAGGAUGGAAAUAAAGUCAAUAUAAUUCUCUGCCUGAAAAUAUAAAUGUUCUUGAGAUGAUUUAUUUGCCCAUAUAUUACUUUCAUGCACUCAUUUUUCCUUUUUUCAUUGCACAGACUUUAAAAUUAGGGUCAUUUGUCUAAACAGAAUAAGAAUUGAAGUGCUCAGGUGUUUUUAGAUAUUAAAAUCUUUAUAUCUUUGAAAUCAUUAAAGAUAUGGAAUUUUUAUAUAUUGAAAAUAUGCAUUUAAAACAUCUAAGGCUGUUGACAUGAAGGAGAAUUGGCUUUUGGCUUAGGGGGCCAGAAUUUGCUAGGCAGUUCCAGUUGGUCCUGUAAAUGAUGCAAGAAACAAAGGCCUUCCACCAAGGAAGGAAAAGGCACCAGAGGAGCCAAUUUUGUUUGCCUCUGUGCAUGGAGGCAAGAAGUCAGUUCAGGAUCUGCCCUAUCUUAUCCGCCCCAUCUUAUCAGGUGGUAAAUCUGUCCUUUGAUCUUGUCAACAAUGUGGAAAGUGGAGGCAGCUGCCACCACCCCAGUCAGCAGUGCCUCACCAGGCCCUCAUAAAACAUCUAUGAGACCUGUAAUAAAUGGGCCUGAUAAGGAAGAGGGCUCAAGAUUGCAGAAGUCAGCAGCUCCACAGAAAAUGCUCUUUUCUACCUCCAAGGUUCCUUUAUUUGAAGAGCAAACACAAACCAUCAAUUCCCACUGACCAUAAAGUUUCUGAGCAAAGAGUUUCACCAAGCCCUGAGAUUAGCAGAAUGUGUUUGGAUUCUUACCCAUAUUCGCAAGGCACCUCCCCACCCCCUGCCCGAAAUUCUCAGCGUUGAUAUGGGCACAGAGGGCCUAGGGCAAGACAAAGAGCUAGGGCAAGUGUGACAAUAAAAAUUCAGUUGGGCAGAAAUAGUCAUUUGAUGCCCCAAAGUAAACUAAUAUCCUAUAUUUAAGUUCAGAGAAGAGAAGUAGGAGUAAAAUUUUAAUAGUACUUCAUAAUAUACUAUUACUGUAUAAUAUAGUACAGUAUAUUUUCCAAAUAUAACUUUGGAAAUAUUUAUUUUAACUUCUGCUGUAUUUUCUGGGGAAUUAAUGAAUUCCUAACUAUACUUCCACUGUCUGGGAAUCUCCUUAGUUGACUUUCCUGAAUAGAUGUCAGAGGAGUUAAGUUCAUCAACCCAGAGGUCUUAGAAGAAAAGGAAGGAAGGAAGGAAGGAAGGAGAGAGAGAGAGAGAAAAAGGAAGGAAGGAAGGAAGAAAGAAGGAAGGAAAGAAAAGGUAUUUGUUGAAUGACUGCUGAUGAAAGCAAGAAUGAAGGAUGCCACAGGCACACAUGCAAAGAUAAACAGUAACUUGAGCAGCGGCAGAAACAAGCAAGAGGAAACUUCACACACCAUACAGAGACACUUUUACUUAGUAGGUUGCAUUAAGAUAAUAAAAGAGAACAAAGCCAAAUAAUAAUAGAAUAAUAGAAUUGACUUGGGGGAGAAAGUCCAGGUCUUUCUUCUCUCCUGCCCCUGCCAACUGUAGCCAAGUAAGAAAGAGAAGGACAAUCAGGGUGGGUAAAUGUGUGAAAGUGCCCAGGCUGAGCAGCUCCCUUGCAUGAAAGGCCCUCUCCUACGCGUGCCCAGGUUAGCC
ensembl:lncRNA